UGCUCGCGCACUCGGCGGUCGCGGCGCAGAGCUGCUCCGCGGUGGCGGCGGCGGCGUUAGGUCCGGGCGGCCUUGGGGCGGCCGGCAGAAGGCGGCCGGAAGGAGGAGGGCCAGGUAGCGGCGGCCGGGCCUGGGGACGGCGCCGGCGGUGAGCGAAAGACACUCUCUGCAUGGCCCAUGCCCGGUGACCACUUUUGGACCAAAGGCCUGCAUGCUGCAGAACCCCAGACCAUCAUGUGAGUUGGGGUCCCCAGGAGGGUGUGUAUCAUGGGGUGGCUGUGGUGUGGACAGAGCAGUGUGUGUUUCAAGUCACUUAACAAAGCCACACAACAACCCCGAGUCCUGCUGGCUUCUCUGGUGCCUUCAGAGUGGCGUGAGCCAGCUUCCGCCGAGCGCCAGCGUGUCCUGGUUUCUGACUGCUCUGAUCUCGGGUGCAGGGUGUAAUUAUUCUGAAGAUAGAGAAACACUAAUUAACUAUUUCUUUCUGAUUGUGCUUGUUUAGAAGAUACUUUCUGUCUCGUGGGCGCUGCUUUCACAUGCUCUGUGGGGCCACGGGAGGUACUGGCCUGGUCUGGCUGCCUGGUGUUUUGGUGGACCAAGGCCUCUCGUGUCACUGGCCUUGACAGCAUCCUUAAGGACUUAGCAGUAGUGCUGCCUCAUGACACCGGCCGGCCGUCGCCCUCCCUCAGUCUGCUGUGUGCUUGACAGUUCUGCUCCCAUGUCCCAUGUACCGGUCCUACUGUGGUUUGUGUUUUUAAGGGAAAACUACCAAAAUGAUUUAAACAUCAGCGUUCCAUCUUGGCUCAGAGAGUUUUAUUUCACAAUUUCUCCAGAGAAAUCCUUGGUCUGUGAGACUCUGGCAUUGAGGGGCCGUGGUCUUCAGGCCCGUGUGCAGAAGCCCUGGUGUCCCUGCAGGGUCUCCUUCAGGGAGUUGGGGACAGAUCGGGGAGGUUGUGCAUGCUUGGAUCUGACUCUGUGAAGAGAGGUGUACGUGAGAUGCGAGAGGCGCUUUGACAUGUAGUGGGGGCUGGGGCUUUGCACCCGGGACCCCCUGGGCAGCACCGUGCAUCACCCAUUGGCUCCUUGGGGUUAGGACCUCACCAUUGGGCUGGAUGGGAGCUGUUUGUGGGGCUCUUUAGGCUGCCCCCUGCAGGCUGUGCCCCACCUCGCCCCACUGCAGGGCUGUCCAGGCUUCCUGCUACCCAGUGACAGGGCAGGAGCUUUCCCGCCCCCGUCCAUGCACAGCUCCUUUUAUUUUGACCCCAACCAGGGAGGGCUGUGUUGUGGGCAGGCCAGCCCUCACCACCUCAGCUCCCAGCUAUCUGCUGUGACUCCAUGUGGCAGACACGCGGGUCCUCAGGGGCCAGUGUUCCCCAAGGCCAGAGCUGCAGCUUCUCUGUUGCUGCCGGCCUUGCUCAGUCUGCAUGGCUAUACCACCCUCCCAUGUUUGCUCCUGGCCAAGAGUGGCCCCUCCCUGCACUUCUUGGUCUGGGCAGAGGCACCCCCUGGUCACCAUUUCAUGAGUUAAGUGGCCUUUACCAGCUCAGCUCCUGGGGCCAGGCUCUGCCUUAGGAGCCUGCCCCUGAGAUCCCUCGGGCUGAGGUACAGGGUGCUGGGAGCUGCCCCUAGGAUCUGUGGCGGCCAGGCCAGUGGCUUGCUCUGCCCACCUCUGGCUGUGCCCUCACUACCUGCCAUGGCUUCUGUGGCUGUGGCAAUGACUCCCUGGGGACCUAGCCUAGUGGUUUCCCUGAAGGCAGAGGCAGGUGUCAUGGGCAGGACAGCUAUGAGGAAUUUGGACUUCCUGUCUGAGAACCAGCCUAGAUUUCACCAUGAACUUGGGUUUUUUGUUGGCUGUGCUGUGAGAAAUUGCCAGGUCAUCUCAGUGGUCAGAACAGAGCUGUCCAUGCCGUUGUGACCCCGCUCUGCCUGUCCUGUACCCACAGCUAUGGCCCUGCAGGGUCAGCACCCCACAUUUCAGAUGACCCAGCAGGAAGCAGAGGAUCUGGCUGUUGGUCCUCCCCAGGAAGUCCACUGGAGUCAGAGCUUCACUUGUGACCUGGGCGGAGGGCUGCGAGCCAUCCACAGGCCCCGAGGCCACUGCCCAGUGCAGAUCGAUCGAGGGCUGGGGAGUGAAUGCCCUUUCACCUGCCAAUGGCCUGAGAACUCCCACGGGCUGGGCCAGUUCUACAGGCCAGAUGGAGGCUGGCAGAGCUGGGAGGCUGCACACUGUGUGCCACAGCUGGGCCCAGAGCUCAGCAGAGAGCAGGGUAGCUUGUGGCCUCUUGCUUUGUCUGUUUUCACUUACUUGAGAGCCAUAAAAGUGGAGAAAUCUUCCACCUGCAGUAGCUCAGACCAGCCAAAGCUGGGAGCUGGGAACUCCAUCCAGGUCUCCCAUGUGUACGGCGGAACCCAGUCACUGGAGCCAUUGCUGUGCCUCCCAGGGUCCAGGUCAGCAGGGAGCUGGAGUCCAGAACUGGAGCUGGGCACUGAGUGCAGCUCUCUGAUGUGGGACAUGGGCAUCUUAGCUGCUGGGCUGAAUACUCUCCAGACACUGCUUUUCUCGGCAGGUAGGGGAUGAGGCAAGAGGACUACGUAAGCAGCAAGAAUACUUUAUCUUGUUUGAUUUUUAUAACUUCAGGGACCUCUUGGCCUGUGUUUAGAAGACCUCACCUUUAACAAGCUGCUCUGUAGCGUGCUGCUCUUGGUGUUGAUGGUGCAGACACUGGGCUGGAAGCGUAAGAUGCGCAGUCAGGAGAGUGCUGGUGUGGCAGGGCUGUGCGUGCACCUGUCAUUAGCAAAAUGUGACCAUGAUGCCAUGGACAGAUUGGCUGUCUCCUGGAAGGGGGCAGUGCCUUGCGAACCAUGUGACUGACAGGGUGGACAGUGAAGCCCACGGAGGUAUCAUAGGUGGCUCCACACCCCCCAGAAAUGCCUGGACAUGGAAUGCUAGGACCAGGUUCCCAUGGUCAUUGGUUCACUGAACAUGGCCAGACACUGCUGCUGCCAUAGGCGUGUCUUUGUUGCUCCCCUGUGGGGUGCAUCAGCACUUUUCCCCACCAGGACAGCACUGGGAAGGAAACUUCCUGCUGGUCUACACUGCUGUUCUGAAACCCAGACAGGGAGCCCCAGUCCCCUCCUCCCUCAGCUCCUGGACAGCACGGGACACAGGUGCUGCUCCCACUCAUAUUCCUGGUGCCCUGGACCUUCACGAUAGUGGGAUCCCAGCAAGAUGGGAGGCAGGGCUCACUGCACGGCGGUUGGCCAUCCACACGGCAUGGAUGGCUGGGUCAGGGCAGUGGCGCUCACACCAGCACUUCCACUGGCUUUAAACCAGAGGUCCUCACUGUGAGAAGUGCAGGGAGCUAGGAUAGCACUCUGAUGUGGCAGGCAGGCCCUGGCCGGGGCAGCAAGUGCCUGUCCUAAGGGGCCUGAGCGCAGUGUCCCCUACCUGCUGGUUUGGAUGUUUUCAGGGGAGCCAUUGUCCCUGACGGAUGUAGGGUUGCAGGCCACAGGCUUCCCCUCAGUGGGCUCUGUGAACAGUUGUCCCGAGGAGGCAUCAGGGGCAUCACUGAGGGACUAGCAAGUGCUGGUGGGGUUGGGGCUGCUGAGGUGAGUGAUGGGCACCGUCAGUAACUGCAGUCUGGUGCGGCUGAACAUGGGAACUGAGUGAGCAGGGCAGGGUCUUCCUGCUGGGCCGAACCCUGUGCCUGUUCCCAUGGGCCAGGGCUGCACUGCCAGGGACUGCCAGUGAGUGCAUUUGUCCAGGGGUGUACCAUGUGUCCUGUCCUGUCCUGUCUGAGGGGCAGUAUGUGGCUGGCAUGAACCCUCACCUCUCCCCAAAGGCAUAUUCAGGACCCUGCAAGCCAGCAGUUGACGUGGAACAAGCCCCCAAAGAACGUCCUUGUCAUCAAGAAGAUACGCUACACCCGCCUGCUGCAGCUCUUCAAGGAGUUCUGCGUGUACCUGGUGCAGGCAAGUGAGGUGGGGGCUGGGGAACCCCGUGCACUUUGUCCCACUGAGGGCACGCCCAGCCUGGCAGUGGCUCAUUUUUACAGAGGGUGUAUCCUGGAUGUGGUUCUGAGGGUCAUGUCUGGUGACGGCCUUGCUGCCAGAGUCCCAAGGUGGUGCAGGGUGUCAUGUGGGACCCAUGUCUGCCUAUGUCAGCUGGUCUCUCGCCUUACAAAGCCGCACCCUGAUGGCUUUAUCUAGGCCUGAUUGCUUUGCAGGGCUGCACCCCUGUGCCCUGGGCAGGCUGUGGUUCCACCGUCCCACUGCUGCACAGCAGCUCUGAUGCCCUGACAGCUCCCUCCCAGCUGUGAGUCCUUGUCCGGCACCCCUGCAGGGCAGGCCUCACCUCAUUUUUGAGUGUUUUUUUUUUUUUAUUUGUGGGAGGCAAUCUGUACAGACAGUUCUUGCAUCUGCUGGGUCCUCAGUGACCUGCAACAGCCAGGGCUGCAUCAGCCUGAAUCCAGGAGCCAGAGAACACUCUGGGCCUUCCAGCAGGGUGGAUGGAAGCGUUGGAACUGUCAUCCCAGCAGGGUGGACGGAAGCGUUGGAACUGUUGUCCCAGCAGGGUGGAUGGAAGCGUUGGAACUGUCAUCCCAGCAGGGUGGACGGAAGCGUUGAAACUGUUGUCCCAGCUGGGUGGACCAAAGUGUUGGAACCACCGUGGCCGCCUCCCAGGGUGCACAUUAGCAGGAAGCUGGGGCCAGAGUCAAGGGCAUUUUGCUACGGCAUCUGGGUGUCCCCAGCAGUGUCUUCACCCUGUACCCAGCACCACCCUGGGCAUCUUGUGCACCAAGAGGUGAGGGGAGGCCCCUGCAGCUCUGCUGGGCAUAGUCCCACCUACAGCUCCACUAGGUGUUGCCUGCAGGAUGACUGCCUGCUGUCUGGUGGAAGCCACCAUGGCCCUGUAGCACUGGCCUUCCGGAAACCAUGUGGACCCCAAGUGUGCAGUUGCCACCUGGGCCUGCUUGAAUGGCUGUGGCCACAAAGUGCCAGAGUUUCCAUUGCACGGUGGCUCUGGGUGGUGAGCCAGAGAGGGGGUUGCAGGCCUCCCAGGACCCUUCUUGGAACAGUUCUGCAUCACAGGUCCCUGGCUGGGGCUUCCCUGUCCUGGCACCCACUGACCGCUCUGCAGGAGGCAGCUUGGCCUCACCCACCUGCUUUCCUUCGCUCUGCUGCUUGGCAGGCUUCAAGGUGUCCAGGUCUUCAUGCUCUGCUUCCCUUUGACCUCAGAUUGCACUGAAGGCAGCCAGAGCCACCCACACAGUCCUCCUGAGUCUGUCAGAUGCCUCUCUGGCCAGGGUUGCAGCUGUGCCGAGUACCUGAGUGCAGAGUCCUCAUCCAGGGCAGGGACUUGGCUCCUUCAGGCUGGCCUCUGCUCCCACUCCCCUCCCCCUGGGUCUCCACCCACCCAGACCCAGCUUUGCCUUGGCCCAUGCCUUGCUCCUGACAGUGAUCAUCUGUCUCCAGGAGCUGUGUUCUGCACUCAGGCUGGGUUUUAAUGGAUAUAGGUUUGCUUGGCCUCUGGUUCUGGUCUGCAGCCCCUUGGCCAUACCUGAUGAUGACCUGGCUGGUGAAGUCCUGAGGCCAUAUGGGGCCUCAUGUGGCAAGAGUGGUCAUGUGGCCUCUGGUUCCCUCUUCAUGGGAAGCCAUGAGACCACAUCUCAUCCCAAUCACCUCCUGAGGCCCUGCCUCCUCCCAGAGGCCCCACUUCCGCACACUUUAGUUAAGUUUCCACCCUCUUAGCACCACUCAUGGUUGUUCACACCUCAUGGUACUGGCUGGGCUGGUGGAGGUUGUUCACACCUCACCUCACUGGCUGGGCUGGUGGGGUUGUUCACACCUCACAGCACUGGCUGGGCUGGUGGGGGUUGUUCACACCUCAUGGCACAGCCAGGCUGGUGGGGUUGUUCACACCUUACGGCACAGCCGGGCUGGUGGGGUUGUUCACGCCGCACGGCACAGCUGAGCUGGUAGGGGUUGUUCACACCUCAUGGCACAGCUGGGCUGUGGGGUUGUUCACACCUCAUGGCACAGCUGGGCUGGUCGGGGUUGGGGUUGUUCACACCUCAUGGCACAGCUGAGCUGGUGAGGGUUGUUCACACCUCAUGGCUGCAUCUGGUCAGGGUUGUUCACCCCUCACAGCUGCAUCUGGUCAGGGUUGUUCAUACCUCACAGCUGCAUCUGGUCAGGGUUGUUCAUACCUCACAGCACAGCUGGACUGGUCAGGGUUCACACCUCAUGGCACAGCUGGGCUGGCCAGGGUUGUUCACACCUCACUAUCUCCUUUCUAAUGAUGUAUGCUUGUUAAACUUUUACUCGGCCUAUGUGUUUGGGGUCCCAUGCACUAUUUGUGUUCCCCUCAAUAAAAAGUGCUGGCUAAGAGCCAUCAUCCUCAUUGCUCUUCUGAUGGAGGCUCCCAUGCCUUGUCUUUUCAUUUGAAAACCCAGCGAUCAUAUACUUGUUUUACAUAAUGAAAAUACUUACUCUUGUCUUAAUUAUUCUUAUAAUAAGCCAUGUUAUAAUUAACUGUUGCCAUCAUGGUAUACAACAGACCUCUUGAACUUAUUCCUACUAUGCAAAUGAAAUGUGUUCUCCUUUGACCAAAAUAACUUCAAAUCCCCUCCAUGUGUCUUUACGUUUCAAUGGUUUUCCUAUAGACAGCACAAAGUUACAUCUUGGUUUAAAUUUUCCUAUAUAAGUCUCUGUCUUUUAAUUGCCAAUUUAGAAAAUGUACAUUUAAAAUGAUUAUUGAUAUAAUUGGUAUAGUAUGUGUUAUAUUUGCUAUGAUUUUUUUUAUCAGGAUUAGUUUUUAUGUCUUAUUAAUUAUUCAUUUGAAAUGCUAAAAUGCAAAGGGAAAGAGAUCAUCCAGCUACUGUUUCACUCCUCAAAACUUUACAACAGCUGUGCUUUGGCUAGGCUUAAGGCAGGAGCCAGGAAGUGCAUCCAGGUCUCCCCAUGAGUGGGACGGGUCCAAACACAUGAGCCAUCAGCUGUUGCCUCCCAGCGGGUGCAUUACAGCAAGUUGAAUCAGGAGUCUUGUGCAGUAAAUCUGUAGUAAUAGAAAAAUAGUGAAUAUCACCCAAAUACUUUUCUGUAGCAUAGAUUUUAUUGACAACAUUAUGGUUUUUUCUGUGCUAUAUGGCAACUUAUUUGAGCAAUCAUUCUUAAAAUAAUAAAUCACUUCUUGGCAGCAACAUUUUUCACAAAAUAAGUAGGAAAUGAAUGUUUCCAUUAACAUAAGGAUCACUACGUGCUUAACCAUUGCCAAUCAGUGUAAUUGUUAGUGCUUUUCAAGGAGGCCUUCCUUGGCCCUUGUCAUGUGUAAGGCACUAUUCCUGCCCAGGGAAGCUGAUGGGUUUUGUUUCUUUAACAAAUAUAUCUGGUAUUCUGUAUUCCUUUCUAUCAUGACCUAGCUCCUAGAGUCUAGGAGCAAACCGGACAAGUUCUUUCACACCUCCACUCAUCUUCUCUUCCAAGCGCCCACUACAUGUUUCCAAAGGCAAAGCAAAUGAGCACACAUCCAGUAAGCCGUUUAUUUCUCAGUUCAUUUUACAUUGUGAUGUAGCAGCUUUGGAAGAUUUUUAAUUAAAAUGGGGAAAAUGAAUAUGUGAUAAUGUAAAAUUGUCAUGAUUAUGACAUUAGAGCUAUCAAACCUGAUAGCAAAUUUGUCUCCAGGUUUUUUGAGGCUAUAACCAUGACAUACUUGUUACAUGAUUCAAAUUGGAACUUAAGAGUUUUCUAAAUUUUUGUGGGAUAGGAAGCCUGAAAUUCUAAGUAUUGGUCUUAAGGAUGAUAUGGUGGAAGUGGUUUAGUACGAACCUGGAAAUAAACACUCAAUAUUUUGCAGAGAUAGGAGUUACCUAGUGCUAAAAAAAAAUUACUGAAUAAGACAUUUUUGUGAACGAAUUGCUAAAAUAGUGUGGCUCCUAAUAGCAUUUUGGAGGCUGAAUGGGAUUCAUGGGCAGGGCCAGGGAUGUGUAGAGAAUGGAAUCAGAUACAUGUUCUUUUUAAAAAUAUUUAUUGGUUUAUUUUAAAGGCAGGGUUACAAAGAGAAAAAGAAAGAGAGAUAGAUAGAUGAUAGAUUGAUAGAUUGAUAGAUGAUAUAUAGACUGAUAGAAUGAAAAAACUGAGAAUGAGGAGGAGGAUGAGAAUCAUCUGCUAGUUCACUCCCCAAAUAGUCACAAUGGCCAGGAUUGGGCCAGAUCAAAGUCAGGAGCCAGGAGUUUCAUCUGGGUCACCCACCCAAGGACAUGGGCCAUCAUUCAUUGCUUUUGCUGGAACAUUAGCAGGGAUUUGAAUUGCAAGUGGUGCCAGUGGGAUUUAAACCGUCAUCCAUAUGAGAUGCCAGGAUUGCAGGUGGUGGCUUAACCUGUAAUGCCAUGAUGCCAGCUCCAGUGACAGAUUCUUAAACAGCCUUACAUAUAAUUCUACCAGCCAGUCUAUAGAUUUAGGUUGUGUUGCAGACUUUCGAAAGUUACAUCUUUAGGCAAAUCAUUCCAUUUUCAUUUGUACUUAAUGAGAUUCAUAGUAGUUUCAAUUAAAUUAUUCAUGAAGUAUAAUCAAAGCCAAAGGCAGUUUUCUAGGUUUUUCUUACUUGAAUAUUCUUCCACAUAAAAAUGAAUUAUAUAUUUGAGAAGUAGAAAGACACAGAAAGAGUGAAGAUAAGAAAGACAGCACCAUUUUGGCAUAAUGAGUUAAGCCACUGCCUGCAGUGCUGAUAUUGCAUAUUUAGACCAGUUCAAAUUCUGUCUGCUUCACUUCCAAUCCAGCUUCCUGUUAAUGCACUGUGGGUACCAGCAGAAGGUGCCCCAAGUGUUUGGGCCCCUGCCACACACUUGGGAGUCCUGGAUGAAGCUCCUGGCUCUAGGCUUCAUCCUGGCCCAGCCUUUAUUACUGCGGCCAUUUGGAGAGUGAACCAGUAGAUAGGAGCCCCCCCACCAAAAAAACCCUGCUUUUCAAAUCAAUAAAAUAAAUCUUAGAAAAGGAAACACAAAUGAGAAAGUCACUUAAAAACUGAUUCACUCUUCCCAAAUAUCCACAGUUGCCCAGGCUGACACAAGGUUAAAGCCAAGAGACAGGAAUAUACUCCUGGAUUCCAAAAUUGGUAGCAGAAGCCCAGUUACUUGAGCCAUCACUAAGGCCUCACAACACCUUUAUUAAUAAAAAGUGAAUCAGGAACAAAACCUGGGAUCAAACCAGGUAAUUUGAAGUAGAAUUAUUGUGACAAGGAGAUAUAAAAAGGGAACUCACUGAAAAAUAAUUCAUCACAAUUACGUAAAAAUUGAAAAUAAGAAUACAUGGAAAUAUAUAAAAAGCCAUGACAAUAAUCAGGAAAAUUUUCAAGUGAAGUUUCUUGUAUCUAGAAAUACUCUUUAAAAUUUAACAAUGGAAGGUGCAUUUAUUGUUUCAUAGAAAUCAGGAAUAUACAAAAUAUAUGUGGGCCUUUAAAGGUAAAAUAAUCACAUAGGAUUAUGAUGUUUCUGAUACAUGUUUAAAUGAAAGUGAACAAGAGAAAUUAGAGAACAGUAAGCUCAGGGACCACAGAAUUAAAAUGUGACAAAGAUGCCCUAUGAUUCACAGACCUAGGAAUGGUUGACAGUAGAACAAUUAUGAUGUAUAAUCUCCUGGAAAUAAAUUCAAAACAAACCUAAAAAUAUGGUUAUGAUUGGCUUUCACUAGGACAUUGAUGAUUUAUAUAGGUGAUAGUAGUAAAUCUAAAUAAUAAAAUAAAAAGAUAUAUCUGUUAUAAAUCAUAUGCUAAUUACUAGAAGUAGUAUCCAGAAAUAGUAUGGGAGCAAUAGUAAGGUAGUGGCAGAAAAUGGGAAUUUGCUGAACAAUACUCAGUUACAAUUAAAUAAUAAUUAGAUGCAAAAAGGCCAAAGAAAACAUCAGGCCAAUUAUCAGGAUAAUAUUAAAGAUACACAAAUCAAGAACUAUAGCCAUUAAUUUCAUAAUUCAUAAGUUAUAGUCCUAUGAAAAAGUAAAGAGUACAUCAUUUUGAAAGAGAAAGGUUACAUCUGCUUAAGAGAAUGUGUACAGGGUUGAUACCCUGAUGCAGUGGGAUAAUCUGCUGUUUGCAACGCCUAGAUCCGACAUCAGAGUACCAAUUGGAGUCCUGGGUACACUUCUUUGGAUCCAGAUAACUUCUGAUGUGCCUGGGCAGGGAGCAGGUGAUAAAGUUGUCACAUACCUGCCACCACUCAUGUGAGAGGGCUGGUGGAUUUCAUGGCUCCUUGUUUGGUCUGACACAGUCAUUUGGGGAGUGAAAGAUUAGAUAGGAAAUCCCCUUCUCUCCCUCUCUCUCUGUAUCUCUCUCAUUCUCCUUCUUUCUCUGUAACUCUUCCUUUCAAAUAAAUAAAUAAAUAAACAUUUAAAAAAUAAAAGAACUCACAUCUAGAAAAGUGCAUGCACUCCAAAAUGGAUACUUAUAUAUAGGAUACUAAGUUUCUGGAUAUAGAACAUGGGCAUUUUCAGAGACAAUGGUCAAUUUAGUGUUCCAUAAAAAUCUUUAGCAUAUAAAAAUAUAUAUGAGCUAGGGGCCGGCGCUGUGGUAUAGUGGGUAAAGCUGCCACCUGCAGUGCUGGCAUCCCAUAUGGGUGCUGGUUUGAGUCCCAGCUGCUCCACUUCCAAUCCAGCUCUCUGCUAUGACCUGGGAAAGUAGUAAAAGGUGCUCCAAGUCCUUGGGCCCCUGCACCCACAUGGGACUACCUGGAGGAAGUGUCUGGCUCUUGACUUUGGAUCGGUGCAGCUCCAGCCAUUGUGGCAAAUUGGGGAGUGACGUAUGGAUGGAAGACUCUCUCUCUCUGCAGGCGUGCACCUUCUAGAUAGGUUAAUGCCGGCGAGACCUCAGAGACACCAGACGCGUUUAUCGGCUUUUCAGCUUCCACUUUAUUUUUUCAGCAGACUAGUGUUACAUGUCACAUACGCCCGCCAUCUUUGCCUCCUCCAACCCUCUUAUAUAUCCCUCCCACCGUCCACCUGCUUAUAUAUGAUUCGCGGAAAACAUGUUACCAACUCAGCAAGAAACAAAACUUACUCUUAGUAAGGUCUGGGAAAGCUGUAGAAUAUGGCCCACAUUCUUGGGCCCCUGCACCCAUGUGGGAGACCUGGAAGAACACCCUGACUCCUGGUUCCUGGCUUUGGAUUGGCCCAGCUCCAGCCAUUGUGGCCAUUUAUGGAGUGAACCAGAGGAUGGAUGACCCCUGCCUCUUCCUCUACCUCACUACCUCCUGCUCACAACCAUGAAUUCCAGUGUUUCACUAUACUCUUUGUGAGGACAAGACCACUUCUAGGAAGAUGGUAGUGGAGACCCUGAGAUCGAGCAAAUGCCCUGACAGGAUGCUGAAGAGGACUAAGCUGCUGUCGCUUUGGGUGCUGUGGGAGCACCAGCCUCACUCCUUAGUUUCUGAAGACUUCACAGUUAAACCAUGGUGAAAAACUCAUUUGUAAAUGAUUUUCCUGAAUUGAAUGUGCUCGCUCAAAUUUAGGGGCCACGAGAUACAGAGAUUUUCCGCCCUGGGAUGAUUUCUGAGCCAAUUUCCUUGAUCAUCUUUGACAAAAAUUACAAUUAUUCAUGUGCAACAAUGUGUUUCUGAAGUAGCACCUUGACGGUAGGGGCUCCAUUUUGGAGCACUUGAGACUGCAUUCUGGGAAAGUAACCCCCCACCCCCACCGUGAGACUCUGGUCUGAAACUAUGAUCUCAAAUAGUCAGACAAUAGCAGUGCACUACAUCAUCCUUGACAGAGCACAGAAAACACCUAGCAUGAUUGCUCAAGCUUGAAAGUAGAAAGGUUGCACCUGGGUUAAUGAUAAAGAUGUGAUUUGUCUAUGCCUUACAUAUAAUUUGGAUUAAUGUCAAGAUCAUAAAUGAUAAUUGUAGGAUUGUAACUGGUGUUGUCAAGAUUAUGAUGGAUAUUAAUUUCACCUAGGUCUUAGGUUAUGUUGACCCCAGUAACUAUGUGCUCUCUUUUUGGUCUUAGCAACUGUGUAUAGCAACUGUGCAUUCCCCCACUCCGGAUUUUGUGUUUUUUUGCCUUUAUAAACCCUAUGCUGUAGAUCCUCGGGGCUGCUCUGUUCUGGUUUGAUCAGAGAGCCCCAGCAUGCUGGAAAAAAAAAAAAAAAAAAAAAAAAAAACUUUUGCAAUUUGCAUGAGAGAGGUCUUUUGGAGUCAUCCCUCGGGCAGUGGGCGUUCUCGACCUUAACAUUCCAAAACUAGCCCCAGUUGGCAAAGGACCUUAUAGAAGGCAAGUUCUUUGCUUUGAGGAACUUGAAAAGUGUAGCAUGAGCUGAUAGACAACUGAGAAUGUAAACUCAUUAAAACAUCCACAAUAAGAAAUUUCAUCUAUUUAACCUUAGAAAUUUUAGAGUAUCCUAGCAGUUACUCUAACAACAUUCUUACAAAAUGGUAGCAGCUGUGAGAAUACUGAAAUGCAACUCAACAUGAAACAUGUCUCCUGAUAGUCCUUGCACAUGAUAUCUUUUAAAGAUUCCAAGCUUUAUUUCAGGUAUCUCUGCCUUUUAAUGCAAUGCAUAUUUCCUUUCUAUUGUUUGUGGUAAUAAAAAUUAUUCUCAAUACUGUUAAAGGAUAUUUAGGAUGCACACCUGGUUUAGCUGCGUGCAGAACAGGUUAUUUUAAAAAAAAUCUUAACAUUUGUUACAUAGUUUUGAAUUUGGCAUGCAAAAGCAGAUUUUGGCGAUUAAACACCUGAGUGAGAAGAAGACAUUAAAUAAAGAAGUGCAGCUUUCACAUUUUUAUAAUUGACACCUUUGGAGGAUCUGAUGCAUUACACGCUAACUCCUUUGUGAAAUGAAGGAGUGAAAUGAAGUUUCCAGUGUUAUAUUAUUUGUUUUAUUUAUAUGUUGCAAACAUAAUACUUCAUUACUAAACUAUGAAAUGUUAUUGUAAACCUUUAGAUCAAAUUGGCUUGCUGCUACACAAAUUGAUAGUCUCACUUUGGAAAUGUAUGUCAUUUGAUAUUAUUUAGCAUUAUUGGGAAUAAAUUAAAAUUCAUUCUUGGUGUAGUAACUGCAUUCCUUUUUCAUGGAAUUUUACAUGAAUAGGCUUUCAUGACAGUCAAGUUUAUUCAGCUCUCAGAAUACCAUAAAUAUUCAAGUUCAUCAUUCAGUUUUUCUUUUACACAGUAUUUAUAAUUAUAAUUUUGCAGAUUUUUCAAUGUUAUAUUUUAACUUCAAAAUUGUGUAAGAAAAUUGAUCACUUUUUCUAGGUACAUGUUCAUACCUUUCUAAAUUAACAAUUCAAUAGCAUAGCCUUACAUCUAAAGUCAUAGUUCUGAAAAACCAAGGAUUUUAGUAUUGCCAGACAUGAUAAAUAUGUCUCCAAUAUUAAAAAAAAGAAUAUGAAGCAGUUUUCCAUAUAGUUAAGUUAUCAGAUUAUUAUCUUCUUCCUUUUUUCACAUCAUGAAGGUAAAAUCUCUUAGUGUUGAUACCUAUCUCUUACUGGGUAAAUUUACUGGGUAAAUCCUUUAUAACUUUUUCAUAAAUCAUAAAAUUUGGAUGUAAAUAUUAUUUGCAUUUAUUCACUCAAUAACUAUUUUAAACACCCACUAUUUACUAAGUACAGUGUGGGGAUUUGGGAUCAACAAACAUAGUCCUCAUCCUUAAUACUUCAAGGAAAAACAACAAAACCAACAACAAAGUCUUCAUAAGAGAAAAAACACUAAAUAUAUAAAGCAACUUCAAUGUGACAAGAAGUGAACAUUUUUUUCCUAUCCAGUAUUUACAUUUAACCAUUUUUGUAUUCAGCAGUGUAGACUUUUCAGCAUUACAAAAGAAAAUAUUUCUAUCUCUUUCUGAAGGCCUUUUUCUGUUCAGAAUGUGUAUGCCAAUUUCCCACUUGCCAUAAUUAUAGUCUCUUCUUCCCAAGGACACCAUGUUUCCAGGGAAAUGUGAAUUCUGUCAAAGUACAGCUAAUUAAUUAUAUUAGCACCAUUCUAAUGGUUUGCUACACAAGAUAAGUAGAACUAUAUACACUCCCAAUAUUUUCUUUGAGGGUGCUAAUAGUAUAUAAAUAUUCAAGCUAGAUCAAAAAUAAAUUUGGUCAAAUGGGGUAGCAAGCAUAAAUCUAUUUAAAGUGAUAAUCUUUAGGUAAGAGUUCAAAAUUACCUACCAAAAUAAUGAUAAAUGUUAAUGGCAAGUUUACUAAAAUUGUGUGCCUAUUGUUGUUUUUAACAGUGAUUCUUUUUUAAAGAAAUUUUUGUUGCAAUCUAUAUGAAAACAAGUAUCCCAAAAGCUCUAAAAUCAGAGAGUAAUAUCCAAAUUAAUGUCAUCAAAGUAUUUUCCUAUAAAGAGUGAUAUGCUCCUGGUUGAGGGAAUGGGAGAAAUAAUAUCCGUGCUACAUAUGUUUUGAUCUCAGGAUACAAACUGGGAUCACCUGGGAAUCUUGAAAACACUGAUUCCUGGUCCCAACUUGAACAUUUUGUAUUUAAUGUUCUUAAUUAUUCUUAGGUUUAUUUAAUUAGACUUCAAUUCAGGGCUGAUGAUAUUUGGGAAAUAGUAUGAUACAAAUAUAUCAAAAAACUUUAGAUAGCUGUUCAGUUUUUUCAAAAAUGCUUAUUUAACAAUGUUCUAUUCCCCACUGCUUUGCAUAUUCUUUUAAAAUCAUAUUUCAUCAAAAUAGAACUAUUUUAGAAGAAUUUAAACAAAUAUCAAUUCUAUUUAUUAAAACUUGGUAAUUUGUUUUAGAAUUAGACAAACUGUUUUUGCUGUUAAUUCAGAUGCAGAAUGUUUGUUCUAAAUCUUAGAAUUUUACCAGUUUAAUCUUUGAAAUUACUUUUUAAUAUACCAAACCAAACAUACCUUUGAUGUUAAAAUUAUCAUAAAAAUGUCAAUGUCUAAUUUAUAGUAAUAUAAUUUAUCACUCAAUCUGUUUUCCUAAGGAAUUGUAUAUUUCAUUUAUAAGAAAACACCUCAGAAGACAUUAUUUUAGUCAAGUAUUUUAAUUAUAUCUAAUAUAUUUUAUUUAAAUUAGGUUCUUCACAAUUUAAAAAAAUUUACACAUUCAAAAUAUUGGAAUAUAAAAUAGGUAUGUAUUCAACACUGAGAUGUAAUAAAUGAUGUUUUAAUAAAUUUCUACUCUUUUAAGUAAAAAAGAAUAAACAUUUACAAAGGGAACUACAGUCUUAUUCCUUCUUCAUCCUCCCAGAAGAGUAACCUCUAACUGAUAAUAUCAGUUAUAAUCAGUAUCAGUGGGGUCUAUGAGUGUCACAGUUGUCUAGUCUGCAGCAGUUCACUGCAGUGCUAGAGUGACUUUGACACAGACGUGCUUCGAAAGGUGUGUGUUUUCAGUUAACAGAGUUAAGUGUCAGAAACCUGAGGGUUGUGUUAGCUGUAGCCACGAUCCUUGUGGUGUGGUAUAUAGAUGGGGUUACCUUGUCCAACUGGGAAAGCCCAAGUGAUUCUGGGACUUGUGGCAACAGCAGUUAUUGCCCUCAGAUUAUGUGAUGAGUAUGGGAUCUUCUCCAGGUCCUGUUGGGUGGCCAUGGGUAAUGCUGGGGUUUAUAACACAAAAGCCCUAGUCCCAGCAGACAAUGUGAAGAAGAACUUGCCCUGGUCCUACAGGGUGAAUACAUGUUUUCUGCAGAUUGUGUGCCUGAAGAAGUGGAAUUCAGAUAACAUUUUUUCUAGGUCCUGCAUUCCAAUGACUCUAGGGAAUAUAUUAUUAACAGUAAUGGUCCCAGUGCUUCAGGGGAGGAAUGGUACCUUGUUCAGGUACCAUGUCUUUAUAAAACUACCUUUUAUAAUAUUUUCAAAAGUAUGGUACUGUAUGUUCUCAAGCAUCUUAUUACUAAAGAUCAGCAAUUUUAUAAUUUAACUGUGUUAGUUCAUGUUUAUUGAAAUUAUUAAUGCUUUGGUUAUAAAGUUUCAAAAUUUGGGGGGCUUCUUAAAAUUUUUGACCAUAAUUUGUCCCACCCACUUCAUUAUUUCUCACCAGCCACUUGCAGAACAGUGAUUAUUCAGGAAUAUAUGUCCUGCUAUAGAAGCAGUUGCAUAAAAGCUGUUUAUCUGCUGUACUUUAUUCCAUUGUAUGAAUAAACCAGUCUGUUACUCAGAGAUUGUAAGAUUGCUUUUUUUUAAAAGGUUUAUUUAUUCAUUUGAAAGUCAGAGUUAUAAUAGAGAGGAGAGAUAUAUAGAGAGAAAUCUUUCAUCCACUGGUUCACUCCCCAGAUGGCCUCAACAAUCAAGGCUGAGCCAGGCUGAAACCAGGAGCCAGGAGAUUCUUCUGGGUCUUCUACAUGGGUGCAAGUGCUAAAGGACUUGGGCCAUCUUCCACUGCUUCCCCAGGCACAUUGGCAGGGAGCUGGAUUGGAAGUGGAACAGCUAGGACUCAAGCUGGUAUCCACAUGGGAUGCCAGCACUGCAGAUGGAGGCUUAACCUGCUGUGCCAAAAUUCUGGCCCUGUGGUUUCUAUGUGCAGUUCCACAACAUCUUUUUAUAUGACUCUAUGUUCAUAUUGGCCAAAGUACACCAGAUUUAGAAUUACUGAUUGUUAAGCUAUAGCAACAACUUUAAUAAUGUUCAUCAUACUUAUGUCCAAAUAAUAUGUAUAUAUGAAUAUUGCUACCAGGAACUAAUGAGUAUUCUUGUUUCCCAAAUUAUGAUUUUGUGGUUUCAGACCAAGAAUUGUGACAACCUGAAGGAUAUCAAUGGCUGUGUUGUUUUAAUUUUGUAAUUCUCUGAUAUUUUCUUCAGAGGAAUUUAAUUAUAGCAGUACUUCCUCUGUAGUGGAGCCUUUCCCGAGCUUUUUUACUAAUUUUUCUAUCCUUUUCUUAUUAAUUUAUGAAAUGUUCUCAUGAUUCGGAUAUGUCUGAAUAUUUUCUAUACAUAUGUUGCCAUGGUCUGUGACUAUAAGUUUUUAUGCACAUAUUUUGUUUUUAUUCUUUUGACAGGCAGAGUGGACAGUGAGAGAGAAAGACAGAGAGAAAGGUCUUCCUUUGCCGUUGGUUCACCCUCCAAUGGCCACCACAGCCGGCGUGCUGCGGCCAGUGCACCGCGCUGAUCCGAUGGCAGGAGCCCGGUGCUUCUCCUGGUCUCCCAUGCGGGUGCAGGGCCCAAUGACUUGGGCCAUCCUCCACUGCACUCCUGGGCCACAGCAGAGAGCUGGCCUGGAAGAGGGGCAACCGGGACAGAAUCCGGAGCCCUGACCAGGACUAGAAGCUGGUGUGCUGGCACCACAAGGCGGAGGAUUAGCCUAUUGAUCCAUGGCGCCGUCCCUGCACAUAAAAUUUUAAAUUUAAUUUUAGGUGUUUAUUUUUACCAAAUUAUCCCAUUAUGUAUUUUUGUCUCAUUUCAGAAAUAAUUGUCUGAUCCUGAUACCCUGUUUUCUUUUAUGUCUUAUUAUUUUAAUGUUCACAUAUACUGUUGCUAAUUUUUAAAGCUUGGAAGUGAGGCUUCAAUUUUAAAUUUUACCUAUGGAUAGGCACUUUUCAAAGUGUUUGAGAGGGAGAGAUGGGGGUGUGGGAGAGAGAGGAGAGGGAAG